CAGGUUUUUAAGAAAGACAAAGCGUGUCAGCAGGAGAUGAGACAGAUGCAGAGCUACUGAAGAAACAUGUCGAAUUAUUACAUUCAAGAUGUUGUCCCAAUCGCUCUGCAAGUUGUCCGCCAUGAUUAUCAUCUGAUCGUGACACCGGCGACAUGGACAAUUUAUUGCAUGAACACGUAUGAAGACUUAGCUACAGUGCAGACUGGCGACGACGGACAAAAGUUGAACGCUGAGACGGCAAGAAAAGGUCUGACAGAAACUGGCUGGGUCGGACCGUACAACAGAGCAUACGGCUGGUCCUAUCAAGACAAACGUUGAAUUUCAGGCUAACCAUUUGGUGCCCUGGACAGCCUGAUAACGGAACGAAGCCUGUGGUGCAAGAAACUCAAGUGGAUCCUGGGGAAUCUUUAAGACCAGCAAUACUUUAAAAUGCUAGCUUCAGAGGGCUUGUUGGUGUCACUCUUCACACAGUGAGCUGGUGGGAAGGUCAGACUUACUGCCAGACAUAUCGCACAGAUUUGGCCAACGCAACCACUGAAACAGAGAACAACCAGUUACAACUAGUGACGUUACUCCAGGGGACUUCUUGGUUUUGGCCUACCUAAGCGCAGUUGGACACGGUCGGACUAGACCGCACAGAGGAGUCUCUAGUGGAGACGUGACAUUCCAAAUGAUGUCUUCUACAGAGUACAGAGUGAAGGAGCAAGUCAUGAAACUGCAGAUUCAAGUUGAUGGGAGUGCUAUUGUUCCUAAUGUUCUGUCAGCCAUUUUACAACAGGGUAAUAAGGCAAAAAAAUGCAGCUCGUCAUGUUAUCAAGAAACCACAACACCCUCGAUAAUGAAGACUCUUCCAUGGUGGAAAACUU